GCUAGACUUAUAGAACAUUGAUGUUAUAUGAAUCAUGCACUCAGAAUCAUAAUGUACUAAUCAGUACCUAUUUGGGCACAUUUGUCUUCCUUUUCAUUGUACAGAAUUAUUUCUGUCUAUCAUCAGCUUCUGAUUUAUAAUAACGACGGAGCUAUGGAACAAAUGCAUAUUUUUGCUUAACUAUAUAUACAUUAAUUUGUGUCAUAUAGAACCCUUAAUGACUUAAUCCUUAUAUCAGUUUCAUGAUGCUUGUGAUGUUACUGUGAGACAUUGGGCAGGCUUGAAAAAUAUGCCUGGCCACGGUGGGAAUCGAACCUACGACCUUUGGAAUACUAGCCCAAUGCUCUGCCAAUUGAGCUACGCGGUCAGGUUGGUUCGAGUAUGGAACUGAGUCUAGUUCCUUCGAUAUCAAUGUAAUCUAAUAAUCAUGAUAUUUGCUGUGUUGGUUACGUGAUAUUAAUCAACGCUGAGGUUUCAAUGGUCAGUUCAGCGUUUAUUGCAUAACGGUCUGAUGAUACUGUAAUGACCUUAUAUAUAAUUUGCAAAGAUGUCGUGUGACAUCAGAAAAAAUAUUCAUUUCAAAAUUAGUGUAAGUUACUGCAACCAGGU